rnacentral:rRNA from 1 species
AUUGAACGCUGGCGGAAUGCUUUACACAUGCAAGUCGAACGAUGAACCUUAGCUUGCUAAGGGGAUUAGCGGCGAACGGGUGAGUAAUGUAUCGGAACGUAUCCAAUAAUGGGGGAUAACUAGUCGAAAGAUUAGCUAAUACCGCAUACGUCCUACGGGAGAAAGCUAGGGACCUUCGGGCCUGGCGUUAAUGGAGCGGCCGAUAUCUGAUUAGCUAGUUGGUGGGGGAAAGGCUCACCAAGGCGACGAUCAGUAGCUGGUCUGAGAGGACGACCAGCCACACUGGAACUGAGACACGGUCCAGACUCCUACGGGAGGCAGCAGUGGGGAAUUUUGGACAAUGGGCGAAAGCCUGAUCCAGCCAUUCCGCGUGAGUGAAGAAGGCCUUCGGGUUGUAAAGCUCUUUCGCAAGGGAAGAAAACUUAAGCUCUAACAUAGCUUGAGGUUGACGGUACCUUGAUAAGAAGCACCGGCUAACUACGUGCCAGCAGCCGCCGUAA